rnacentral:rRNA from 1 species
GGAGGCAGCAGUGGGGAAUUUUGGACAAUGGGCGAAAGCCUGAUCCAGCAAUGCCGCGUGAGUGAAGAAGGCCUUCGGGUUGUAAAGCUCUUUUGUCAGGGAAGAAACGGUGAGAGCUAAUAUCUCUUGCUAAUGACGGUACCUGAAGAAUAAGCACCGGCUAACUACGUGCCAGCAGCCGCGGUAAUACGUAGGGUGCAAGCGUUAAUCGGAAUUACUGGGCGUAAAGCGUGCGCAGGCGGUUUUGUAAGUCUGAUGUGAAAUCCCCGGGCUCAACCUGGGAAUUGCAUUGGAGACUGCAAGGCUAGAAUCUGGCAGAGGGGGGUAGAAUUCCACGUGUAGCAGUGAAAUGCGUAGAUAUGUGGAGGAACACCGAUGGCGAAGGCAGCCCCCUGGGUCAAGAUUGACGCUCAUGCACGAAAGCGUGGGGAGCAAACAGGAUUAGAUACCCUGGUAGUCCACGCCCUAAACGAUGUCUACUAGUUGUCGGGUCUUAAUUGACUUGGUAACGCAGCUAACGCGUGAAGUAGAC